ensembl:lncRNA
AUAAAGUGUUCAAAUAUAGAUUUUGCUGUAAUAUUUUGCUUUGUGUUAUGUUUGGAUAACGAUUCUAGUUCGCACUGCCAUAUUAACAAGUAAAAAAGUGUCCAAAUCACUUAAUUUUUGAACCGUUUGUAUAUAGUUUUAUCAUUUAAAACAAACAAUUUUGUGUAUUUGUCAUAUAUCUCUUUAAAAUAUAUGCAACUUAGUCUGAUAUUCUAUUAAAUGUACGCGACGUUCGUGCGCUUUUAAUACUGUUUGAGGCCACUCUUUAAUAAGAAUGCAUUAUUUCUGCACACUAAACGCUUGGACCGAGACUUGGUUUGGGGGUGAAGAGUGGAGCUGUGGUCAGGGAGAGGUUAACUGGCUCGUGCGCUCUGGUGGCUGGGCAGGCGCGGAGCUGCGGCGCGCUGACGCGGGGAUGGAGAGCUCAGAUGCGCUGCUGCUCCGCCAGGAUCCCGCGGCCCGGGCCGACCUUUCCCUACUGCUUUCAACGCUCUUCUGCGCCGGAACUUUACAUCACGGAUUCUUGGGGUUUCCUGGUGUGGAGUCCCCAAAGAAAAGAUACAUCAAUAGGGAGACACUCAUGCUCCUUUUCUUUUGGAUCUGGACUGCAGAUUGCAACAGAUUGGACAUCUGGAAAGCCGGCAGGAUUCCCAGAACGUAG